rnacentral:rRNA from 1 species
AUGGCAGUAGUAGAGUGCUUGGAGUUGCAAUGGAAGCCUGCUGAGUGCUGCAUGAUGUCCCAGCCAGUAGAAGGAGCAGAGAUGUCUAUGAGGAAUGUGGGCCGCUGCACUUCCACCUUCGCAGCCACAACUGCAGGAAAGGUGCAAAGCUCCAGCUUCUGCCAGCAGAGGCGAGGGUGCGAGAUCCACAGAGGCUUGAAUUAUGAUCCCAGCACUGCCUUGAUCGUCCUAGAUCUGUAUGAAGACACAUGUGAGCUGUGGCUGGCAGCGAAGAUCUUCCUGGGGUCUUUGGAAUUCUUCCAAGAGGCAUCCAAAAAAAUAAUCUUGUUCCCUGUGAUCAUAUGA